rnacentral:rRNA from 1 species
CACGGGGGGAGCAAGCGUUGUUCGGAAUCACUGGGCGUAAAGGGCGUCUAGGCGGUUAGGUAAGUGGGAUGUGAAAUCCCUCGGCUCACCCGAGGACCUGCAUCCCAAACUGCUUAGCUUGAGUAUGGGAGAGGAUGAGGGAAUUCCUGGUGUAGCGGUGAAAUGCGUAGAUAUCAGGAGGAACACCGGUGGCGAAGGCGCUCAUCUGGCCCAAUACUGACGCUGAAGCGCGAAAGCUAGGGGGGCAAACGGG